UGGGGAAUAUUGGACAAUGGGGGAAACCCUGAUCCAGCAAUGCCGCGUGAGUGAAGAAGGCCUUAGGGUUGUAAAGCUCUUUCGCCCGCGAAGAUAAUGACGGUAGCGGGAGAAGAAGCCCCGGCUAACUCCGUGCCAGCAGCCGCGGUAAUACGGAGGGGGCUAGCGUUGUUCGGAAUCAUUGGGCGUAAAGGGCGCGUAGGCGGAUAUUUAAGUCUGGUGUGAAAACCUAGGGCUCAACCCUGGGAGUGCAUCGGAAACUGGGUAUCUUGAGGACAGGAGAGGAAAGUGGAAUUCCACGUGUAGCGGUGAAAUGCGUAGAUAUGUGGAGGAACACCAGUGGCGAAGGCGACUUUCUGGACUGUAACUGACGCUGAGGCGCGAAAGCGUGGGGAGCAAACA
rnacentral:rRNA from 1 species